CUUCACCAUAUCUUCAAGAUUGGAUCUGAGCUCUCUCGUUCUCCCUCCUCAUGGCGUCAUCACGGCGGCGACACUGCUGACCACAACGGAGUCCAUCCAACAUACACUCUACCAGAAGGGCACAAUGAUGAAUUCAACGCAAGAUCCUGCUGGUAGGAUACCGAGUACAACACAACGACUACUUGUUAGGGAUGCGUCAGGUAAUGUGCACCCUUCAGAGGAAAAUGAUGAUGCACAUUACUCCUUUCAGCAAGUAAAGAAAGGAUAUGUUCUCGUAACAAGGAUGGAAAGUAUAACAGCUUACAAAAACCAACAUGGACAACACAGAUCUGGAACUCAAGAACAACCUGACACUCAUGUGUCUGCUAAUAACGUGUGUGCACUGGAUGGAUGGCCAUCCCAUGCUCGCCGCAACCGUGCACAACUACAGAAUGAAGAAGAAAGGGCGAGGUGUUCUAAAAGGUUCUAAAGCAACUAAGAAGUGUUUGCCAAUGGAUCUGCAAAGCUAAAUAUUGCAUUCUCUGAAUAUUUGGGUGGUCCAGUAGGAAUGAACUAUCGUUCAUUCAAGGAUGACGUGGUAGUCAUAAUGAAAAGAAAGUUACCACUCAUUGGAGUGAGGAGGUAGUCGGACAUUCACCCUACCAUCCAGCGACUCAUUGUUGCAGAUAUGAUGACCGCUAGUACUACCGGGACUCUAGGUACAAGGCACAAUGUAAUUGCUCCAAAUACGCUCAUACAAGCCGCAACAAUGAAUUCUCGAAUGUUUCGAGCAAUGGAUCCAAAGAUCUAACCAGAAUGGACUCUAGACCACGGACAAUUUACUCUUUGCUCUUAACUAGGAUGGCACAUU